ensembl:lncRNA
GGGUGAUGAUGGGAUGGGAGGACGGGUUUGGGAGCAGGAGCUCUGGAUGAGGAGGAAGAGCAGGUUCCAUGGGUUCCUCGGGAGAGGCACCCCAGCAGGAAGACUCCGGAUGUAGAGCAGGUCUGAGUGAUGACAAGACCCAGGAGGAGACACUGCUGGGAGGCGGGUGACUGCGUGCAGUAAGGAUGUGGAAAAAUUGGAGCCCUUGUACACCGCUGGUGUGUAUCAGAAUGUGAAAUGAUGCAGUCACUGUGGAAAACUGCUCAGUGGCUCUUCAGAAAGUUAAACAAUCUGAGCACGUGCUCCAGUGCCCCCAUGCCCAGGGAUAUACCUAAAAGAACAGAAAACUGGAGCUCAGAAGAUGCUUGUAUGUGACUGUCCGCAGCAGCAUCCUUCGCUAUAACAGCGAUGGGAACAAUCCAAGUGUCCACUACAGAUGUGAGUAUACCCUGAGCAUGGGCACUGAGUGGAGUAUACCCAAGGCACAUGCACAGAGUGGAGUAUACACAGGACACGUGCACCGAGCAAUGAGCAGCCGACCCUGCAGAGGGAGGAGGCUGGAGGACAGGCCCGGUGAGACCACCCAGACACAAGAAGACUAUCCUGCAUGAGUCCACUUACACCAACCCUGCAGCAGACAGGGUCACAGAGACUGAAAGCGCAGACUGGCUGCCAGGGGCCAGGGGCAGGGAGCUGGGAGUUGGUGUUUCAAGGUCGCACAGUCUUUCUGGGGUGAUGGAAAUGACCUGGAAAUAGAUAACGGUGCUGGUUGUAAACAUUGUGAACGCAUUUAAAGCCACUCACUGAAUUGUACACCUAAGAAAGGUUAAAUAGCAUCUUUUAUGUUAUAUGUUUAUUUACAAUGUUAAAAGUUAACAAUGUAAUUUUUCCAAAACUACUGUAUUGUGAACUUUGAAUUGUUUUGUAUGUAAGUUAAUCUCAAUAGAGCUGGGGUUUUGUUUUGUUUUGUUUUUUGUUGUUGUUGUUUUUAAAAAGAUGUGAAAGCAAAGAGU